CGGGAGGUCCGCUGCGGACCUCCCGGACGAGCGGGCGCCGUACCCGGUGUGCGACACGACGGCGCUCA
rnacentral:ncRNA from 1 species